rnacentral:rRNA from 1 species
CAUGUGUAAGCGAAGCGAUAAGUGGAGCGGUGAAAGGCUCAGUAACGGGCGAUUUAUUUGAUCUCCUGGGACGGACAACAUCGGGAAACUGAUGGGAAAACGUCUAAGUUGCAGUUUUUUUUUGAUUGCGACGUAAACCUUUUGGUGCAGGAGAGUAAGAUGCCCUCCUAUCAGUUAGUAAGUAGGGUAAGGGCCUACUUAGACGAAGACGGGUACGGGGAAUGAGGGUUUGAUUCCGGAGAGGGAGCCUGAGAGAUGGCUACCAGGACCAAGGUCAGCAGCAGGCGCGAAAAUUAUCGAACCCCGCCUAGGGGCGAUAGUGAGGAGACGUGUAUAACGAAGUACGUGUAAAGACCGUACUAAUAACUGGAGGUCAAGUCUGGUGCC